UUGCGCCUACGGGGGGCAGCAGUAGGGAAUUUUCGUCAAUGGGCGCAAGCCUGAACGAGCAAUGCCGCGUGAACGAGGAAGGUCUUCGGAUCGUAAAGUUCUGUUGAAGGGGAAAAAGAGCGGAGAGAGGAAAUGAACUCCGGUUGAUAUUACCCUUCGAGGAAGUCACGGCUAACUACGCGCCAGCAGCCGCGGUAAUACGUAGGUGGCGAGCGUUAUCCGGAAUGAUUGGGCGUAAAGGGUGCGUAGGCGGCCUGCUAAGUCUGGAGUGAAAGGUACCGGCUCAACCGUUACAGGCUCUGGAA
rnacentral:rRNA from 1 species